UACGGAGGGUGCAAGCGUUAAUCGGAAUUACUGGGCGUAAAGCGCACGCAGGCGGUUUGUUAAGUCAGAUGUGAAAUCCCCGGGCUCAACCUGGGAACUGCAUUGGUGACUGCAAGGCUAGAGUGUGUCAGAGGGAGGUGGAAUUCCGCAUGUAGCAGUGAAAUGCGUAGAUAUGCGGAGGAACACCGAUGGCGAAGGCAGCCUCCUGGGAUAACACUGACGCUCAUGCACGAAAGCGUGGGGAGCAACCAGGAUUAGAUACCCUGGUAGUCCACGCCCUAAACGAUGUCUACUAGUUGUCGGGGAUUAAUUUCCUUGGUAACGCAGCUAACGCGUGAAGUAGACCGCCUGGGGAGUACGGUCGCAAGAUUAAAACUC
rnacentral:rRNA from 1 species